CUUUAAACCUUGACUGCAUCAAAUAAAUGAUUUUUUGCAUCAGGUGGAAGUUAAUAAUGCAUUCUUGCAUAUGGAUCCAGACGAAGACAUUCUGUAUGCACCCACAUGAAGGUUAUAAAGAGGCAGAAUCAAACCAGGAUUGAAGAUCUACGCAAGAUAUUGAGGAAAUGAAGAAGUUAAAUCCAUGAUCUAAGUUGAAGCAGGGCGAUGCGGUUGGAUUUGGAGGUAAAAAUCAAAAUUAGGGUUAAUCAAUGGGAAUUGUAGAUAUCACACUCAUCCUAAAGAAAUCGACCAAUGGAGAAAGGCAAAUUGCAAGGCACGCAAGAACAUUUUCUGCCACUAGCUUCACGAAGAUCAUAACUGCAAAAGCUGUUAAUCCCACAUACUCCCUGAAUUUUACACGGUUUCGCCAUUACUUGCCACGAAACAUCCCAAAUCUUACGUUUCUUAUCCAAACUAUACAUUCUCACGUUUCCAUCGAAAUCCAUCGUCAAUCUUCUCAUAACGUUGACAUCUCCAUAAUCGGAUGCCAUGAAGUUGAAAUUAUCGGAGGAUACAAAUUUCCCUAAGGAAGUGAACAUAGCCGUUCUAGUAUUGUUGUAAGGGGUCCUCCCGUUGUCCCAACUGUUCUUCCAAGGGGCAGGCCAAAAGACGCUAGUGAUUUGAUCGCCAAAAUUGUAUAGAAGACGAAGAACAUUAUCGUUAUCGAAGUAAAGCCUGUAAUAGCCAGUGGAAUAGUUGAACUCGCUUCUCGAAGAAACGAGUUGGUUACUUAACGAAAGGAUUUGUUCUGGAAGAAGAGUAUCUGUGGGAAAAUCGAAGCUUUGCCAAACUGUAUCUUCCUUCGGAGUAAUUGUUAGAAGAGCCAGGUUUCCGUUAUUAGCGAGAAACAACCUGACCGGAACGGUUGGGUUAGUUGAGGAAGACCAAACAUUCAUUUGACCGGCAUCUGUUAGUACCAAGUUUCCUGUUCCAGUAAGAAAGAAUUUAGAGAGCUUACCAUUGACUGUUUUGUCUCUGUUUGCUAUCCAGACAAGGGUGUGGUUUCCGUCAUGGAGUGGUUCGGUGAACCAUAUGGCGAAAAUGUAAGCGUUUUCUCCGGUUGGGUAGAAACCGGCGGAGAAUGAGCCGUUUGGAGAGACUAAGAUGUCUUUUUCUUGAUUUUCGACGGAUAGAGAACAAUCUUGGCAUAAGGUGCUUGAUCCUGAACAUGGUGGAAAGGAUUCGAAGAAGAAGAGGAAGAAGAAGAACAUGAGAAGGGUGGCCAUGAUUCUUGUUAAUGGUUUAUGCAGAAGAUAUGGUUAUUUAUUUAAGUCUUAAUGGUUUAUGUAGAAGAUAUUGUUAUUUAUUUAAGUUGUAGAUGAAGAAGAUGUGUUUCAUUUAUUAUUUUUCUAUUGUAGAAAGAAUUCACUGUAGAGACAUGACUGACUUGAGAAUUGAAUCAAAUAUAUUUUUGU